rnacentral:ncRNA from 2 species
UGCCCCUGUCGCGCCGAUUUGAGCCACAGCUUGCGGGCGCGUUACAAAUGCAGCUAAAGCGGAGGGGUCGGAAACCCG